rnacentral:lncRNA from 1 species
CGAAGCGGCAAUUAGUUGAAUUUUUUGUCCUACUUUAUUGCUAACAAAUAAAAGAGGAUAGUAUCGUUACUAAGAUAGAUCACAGCUUAGAAAUCACGCAGCUGCACGAGGACGUAAAUCUUUGAAGCAAAAAUACGUUCGCAUACCUCAUUAUGACUACGAGGAAUAGAAGGUUUUCACUGGAUUUGUAGCCUGACGGCACAGCAUCCUGAUCACUGUACUCGCUAUCGUCGCUAUCAAAAGAGUCAUCGGUACCUGAGUUUCCCCGUUGGAUCCUGUUAGAACUCCAUCAUGCUCGCAUCGAACGAUGAGUCCAACGUCUUCGCCAAUCUGGAACUGGCGGUAGCGGUACCCGACAGAAGCUAACUCGUGUGUGUCGCUGCCAUCUUCGGCAGCAAACGGCUAUCUGUGUGCAGAACAACGAUUAGAAGAGCUGCAGCGAGCAUCGAAGUCAGUUUAAAACAAUCGAUCGACAACCUUUAUGAAGUCAUUGUCUACAUGGACUAGAAACCCUCUUUCCACACUUACCUGCUGCGAGAAGUUGUGGU